rnacentral:rRNA from 1 species
UACGAAGGGGGCUAGCGUUGCUCGGAAUUACUGGGCGUAAAGCGCACGUAGGCGGCUUCUUAAGUCGGUGGUGAAAUCCUGGAGCUCAACUCCAGAACUGCCUUCGAUACUGGGAGCUCGAGUCCGGGAGAGGUGAGUGGAACUGCGAGUGUAGAGGUGAAAUUCGUAGAUAUUAGGAAGAACACCAGUGGCGAAGGCGGCUCACUGGCCCGGUACUGACGCUGAGGCGCGAAAGCGGUGGGGAGCAAACAGG